rnacentral:rRNA from 1 species
GAUGAACGCUGGCGGCGUGCCUAAUACAUGCAAGUCGAGCGAACGGACGAGAAGCUUGCUUCUCUGAUGUUAGCGGCGGACGGGUGAGUAACACGUGGAUAACCUACCUAUAAGACUGGGAUAACUUCGGGAAACCGGAGCUAAUACCGGAUAAUAUUUUGAACCGCAUGGUUCAAAAGUGAAAGACGGUCUUGCUGUCACUUAUAGAUGGAUCCGCGCUGCAUUAGCUAGUUGGUAAGGUAACGGCUUACCAAGGCAACGAUGCAUAGCCGACCUGAGAGGGUGAUCGGCCAAACUGGAACUGAGACACGGUCAAGACACCUACGGGAGGGAGCAGUAGGGAAUGUUCCGCAAUGGGCGAAAGCCUGACGGAGCAACGCCGCGUGAGUGAUGAAGGUCUUCGGAUCGUAAAACUCUGUUAUUAGGGAAGAACAUAUGUGUAAGUAACUGUGCACAUCUUGACGGUACCUAAUCAGAAAGCCACGGCUAACUACGUG